AGAAGGUGGCAAGCGUUGUCCGGAUUUAUUGGGCGUAAAGAGCGCGCAGGCGGUCGGAUAAGUCGAAUGUGAAAGCCCCCGGCUCAACUGGGGAGGGUCAUUCGAUACUGUUCGACUCGAAGGCAGGAGAGGGAAGUGGAAUUCCCGGUGUAGUGGUGAAAUGCGUAGAUAUCGGGAGGAACACCAGUGGCGAAGGCGACUUCCUGGCCUGUUCUUGACGCUGAGGCGCGAAAGCUAGGGGAGCAAACGGGAUUAGAUACCCCGGUAGUCCUAGCUGUAAACGAUGGACACUAGGUGUUGGUGGUAUCAACCCCGCCAGUGCCGUAGCUAACGCAUUAAGUGCCCCGCCUGGGGAGUACGGUCGCCAGGCUG
rnacentral:rRNA from 1 species